CAGGUACAGAGGGAUGCUACCGGGCGACCGGAUGCGGAUCUCGAAAGCCUGUCCCAGUUCGGACUGGAGUCUGCAACCCGACUCCACGAAGUUGGAUUCGCUAGUAAUCGCGCAUCAGCCAUGGCGCGGUGAAUACGUUCCCGGGCCUUGUACACACCGCCCGUCAAGCCAUGGAAGCCGGGGGUGCCUGAAGUGUGCAGCCGCAAGGAGCGCCCUAAGGUAAAACCGGUGACUGGGGCUAAGUCGUAACAAGGUACC
rnacentral:rRNA from 1 species